rnacentral:rRNA from 1 species
GAUGAACGCUGGCGGCGUGCCUAAUACAUGCAAGUAGAACGCUGAAGGAGGAGCUUGCUCUUCUGGAUGAGUUGCGAACGGGUGAGUAACGCGUAGGUAACCUGCCUGGUAGCGGGGGAUAACUAUUGGAAACGAUAGCUAAUACCGCAUGACAACAGUUAUUGCAUGAUAACUGUUUAAAAGGGGCAACUGCUCCACUACCAGAUGGACCUGCGUUGUAUUAGCUAGUUGGUGAGGUAACGGCUCACCAAGGCGACGAUACAUAGCCGACCUGAGAGGGGGCUCGGCCACACUGGGACUGAGACACGGCCCAGACUCCUUCGGGAGGCAGCAGUAGGGAAUCUUCGGCAAUGGACGGAAGUCUGACCGAGCCACGCCGCGUGAGUGAAGAAGGUUUUCGGAUCGUAAAGCUCUGUUGUAAGGGAAGAACGAGUGUGAGAGUGGAAAGUUCACACUGUGACGGUAUCUUACCAGAAAGGGACGGCUAACUACGUG